rnacentral:rRNA from 1 species
AACGCGAAGAACCUUACCUAUACUUGACAUAUCGUGGACCGCUCCAGAAAUGGAGCUUUCCUUCGGGACUGCUAUACAGGUGCUGCAUGGCUGUCGUCAGCUCGUGCCGUGAGGUGUUGGGUUAAGUCCCGCAACGAGCGCAACCCUUAUCGUUAGUUGCCAACAGUUUUGGCUGGGAACUCUAACGAGACUGCCUGGGUUAACCAGGAGGAAGGUGAGGAUGACGUCAAGUCCGCAUGGCCCUUAUGUCUAGGGCUACACACGUGCUACAAUGGUCGGUACAGAAGGCAGCGAAGUCGCAAGAUGUAGCAAAUCCUAGAAAGCCGGCCCCAGUUCAGAUUGUAGUCUGCAACUCGACUACAUGAAGUUGGAAUCGCUAGUAAUGGCGUGUCAGCUAUAACGCCGUGAAUACGUUCCCGGGUCUUGUACACACCG